AACGCUGGCGGCGUGCGUAACACGAUGCAAGUCGAACGGGCGAUGAAGCUUGCUUUGAGAGCCUAGUGGCAAACGGGUGAGUAACGCGUAGGCAACCUGCCUUGGGAUGGGGACAACAGGACGAAGCCCUGCUAAUACCGAAUGAAGUAUUCUUCCUGCAUGGGAGGGAUAUGAAAGAUGGCCUCUGAAAAUGCUAUCGCCUGAAGAUGGGCCUGCGUCUGAUUAGCUGGUUGGUGAGGUAACGGCUCACCAAGGCGACGAUCAGUAGCCGGUCUGAGAGGAUGAACGGCCACAUUGGGACUGAGACACGGCCCAGACUCCUACGGGAGGCAGCAGUGGGGAAUCUUCCGCAAUGGGCGCAAGCCUGACGGAGCAACGCCGCGUGAGUGAAGAAGGUCUUCGGAUCGUAAAGCUCUGUUGUUGGGGACGAACGGCGCUGAGGCGAAGAGUCUUGGCGAAUGACGGUACCCGACGAGGAAGCCACGGCUAACUACGUGCCAGCCGCCGC
rnacentral:rRNA from 1 species